AUUGAACGCUGGCGGCAGGCCUAACACAUGCAAGUCGAACGAGUGGCGGACGGGUGAGUAAUGUCUGGGAAACUGCCUGAUGGAGGGGGAUAACUACUGGAAACGGUAGCUAAUACCGCAUACCCUCAGAUGUGCCCAGAUGGGAUUAGCUUGUUGGUGGGGUAACGGCUCACCAAGGCGACGAUCCCUAGCUGGUCUGAGAGGAUGACGAGCCACACUGGAGCUGGGACAGGGUCCGGACUCCUACGGGAGGCGGCGGUGGGGAAUAUUGGACAAGGGGCGCAAGCCUGAGGCAGCCAUGCCGCGUGUAUGAGGAAGGCCUUCGGGUUGUAAAGUACUUUCAGCGGGGAGACGUUACCCGCAGAAGAAGCAACGGCUAACUCCGUGCCAGCAGCCGCGGUAAUAC
rnacentral:rRNA from 1 species